GACGAACGCUGGCGGCGUGCUUAACACAUGUAAGUCGAACGAUGAAGCCCAGCUUGCUGGGUGGAUUAGUGGCGAACGGGUGAGUAACACGUGGGCAACCUGCCCCAAACUCUGGGAUAACUCCUCGAAAGAGGUGCUAAUACCGGAUACGAACUAGGUAGACAUCUGCACUAGUUGGAAAGUUUUUCGGUUUGGGAUGGGCCCGCGGCCUAUCAGCUUGUUGGUGAGGUAACGGCUCACCAAGGCUACGACGGGUAACCGGCCUGAGAGGGCGACCGGUCACACUGGGACUGAGACACGGCCCAGACUCCUACGGGAGGCAGCAGUGGGGAAUAUUGCGCAAUGGGCGAAAGCCUGACGCAGCGACGCCGCGUGAGGGAUGGAGGUCUUCGGAUCGUAAACCUCUUUCAGUAGGGACGAAGCGAAAGUGACGGUACCUAAAGAAGAAGCACCGGCUAACUACGUGCCAGCCGCCGCAGUAA
rnacentral:rRNA from 1 species